GAAGUAAAAGUCGUAACAAGGUCUCCGUUGGUGAACCAGCGGAGGGAUCAUUACAGAGUUGCAAAACUCCCAACCCUUUGUGAAUCCUACCUGUUUAGUUGCUUCGGCAGGCGGCCCCAGGGCGGGGUCUUUUGCUUGUUUACAGGCGUCUGCCGAAGGAGUUUAAAACUCUUUAAUGCUUUCCGUGGCUCUCUGAGUUAAAAAAAAAUAAGUCAAAACUUUCAACAACGGAUCUCUUGGUUCUGGCAUCGAUGAAGAACGCAGCGAAAUGCGAUAAGUAAUGUGAAUUGCAGAAUUCAGUGAAUCAUCGAAUCUUUGAACGCAUAUUGCGCCCGUUAGUAUUCUAGCGGGCAUGCCUGUUCGAGCGUCAUUUCAACCCUCAAGCCCUGCUUGGUGUUGGGGCCCUAUAGCUGUUAUAGGCCCUGAAAAUUAGUGGCGGGCCCGCUAACACUCCGAGCGCAGUAGUUAAUUUCUCGCUUAGGACGUUUGGCGGGUUCUAGCCGUUAAACCGUUUAAUUUUCAAAUGGUUGACCUCGGAUCAGGUAGGAAUACCCGCUGAACUU
rnacentral:misc_RNA from 1 species